GGCUCGAGGACGAACGCUGGCGGCACGCCUAACACAUGCAAGUCGAACGGAACUGUUAAGGAAGAUUUCUUCGGAAUGAUUUCUUUUCAGUUUAGUGGCGGACGGGUGAGUAACGCGUGAGGAACCUGCCUUCCAGAGGGGGAUAACGUUUGGAAACGAACGCUAAUACCGCAUACCUUAUAAAGAUCGCAUGAUUUUUAUAAGAAAGGAGCAAUCCGCUGGAAGAUGGCCUCGCGUCCAAUUAGCUAGUUGGUGAGGUAACGGCCCACCAAGGCGACGAUUGGUAGCCGGACUGAGAGGUUGAACGGCCACAUUGGGACUGAGACACGGCCCAGACUCCUACGGGAGGCAGCAGUGGGGAAUAUUGCACAAUGGGGGAAACCCUGAUGCAGCGAUGCCGCGUGAGGGAAGAAGGUUUUCGGAUUGUAAACCUCUGUUUUAAGUGAAGAUAAUGACGGUAGCUUAAGAGGAAGCCACGGCUAACUACGUGCC
rnacentral:rRNA from 1 species